rnacentral:rRNA from 1 species
AGAGUUUGAUCCUGGCUCAGAACGAACGCUGGCGGCGUGCCUAACACAUGCAAGUCGAACGGGGAUAAGUAGCUUGCUAUUUAUUCUAGUGGCGCACGGGUGAGUAACGCGUAGAUAAUCUGCCUUAGACUCUGGGAUAACAUCUCGAAAGGGGUGCUAAUACCGGAUAAGCCCACGGGGACGUGAGUUCUUGCGGGAAAAGGGGGCCUCUGCAUAUGCUCUUGACCUAAGAUGAGUCUGCGUACCAUUAGCUUGUUGGUAGGGUAAUGGCCUACCAAGGCGACGAUGGUUAGCUGGUCUGAGAGGAUGAUCAGCCACACUGGGACUGAGACACGGCUCAGACUCCUACGGGAGGCAGCAGUGGGGAAUUUUGCGCAAUGGGGGAAACCCUGACGCAGCAACGCCGCGUGAGUGAUGAAGGCUUUCGGGUCGUAAAGCUCUGUCUAGAGGGAAGAAGUGAUAUUCGGUUAAUACCCGGGUUUCUUGACGGUACCUCUGAAGGAAGCACCGGCUAACUCCGUGCCAGCAGCCGCGGUAAUA